rnacentral:rRNA from 1 species
GAUGAACGCUGGCGGCGUGCCUAAUACAUGCAAGUCGAGCGAAUGGAUUAAGAGCUUGCUCUUAUGAAGUUAGCGGCGGACGGGUGAGUAACACGUGAGUAACCUGCCCAUAAGACUGGGACAACUCCGGGAAACCGGGGCUAAUACCGGAUAACAUUUUGAACCGCAUGGUUCGAAAUUGAAAGGCGGCUUCGGCUGUCACUUAUGGAUGGACCCGGGUCGCAUUAGCUAGUUGGUGAGGUAACGGCUCACCAAGGCAACGAUGCGUAGCCGACCUGAGAGGGUGAUCGGCCACACUGGGACUGAGACACGGCCCAGACUCCUACGGGAGGCAGCAGUAGGGAAUCUUCCGCAAUGGACGAAAGUCUGACGGAGCAACGCCGCGUGAGUGAUGAAGGCUUUCGGGUCGUAAAACUCUGUUGUUAGGGAAGAACAAGUGCUAGUUGAAUAAGCUGGCACCUUGACGGUACCUAACCAGAAAGCCACGGCUAACUACGUGCCAGCAGCCGCGGUAA